ensembl:lncRNA
AAAUGCCUCACCAUGCAGCCAGAUGAUCACAUCUCAAUUGGUGCUUCCUUUCCUCGCCCUAGCCUCUCUAUUCUGUAAUCAGACUCCCUACUCCUACGCUGCAUUUCCCUGCUCGGCCUGCCUGUCUCCACCUCCCUUCCACAUGGCCACCGCUGGUCCAGGUGCUGUGGCUCUCCUCCUGCAGCAUCCAGCAUUGACUGAAGUCAGUGAGAGCUCUGCCGCGGACUCCUUUGGAGCAAGGCUGGGCCUGCUGUCCACAGUCAGCAUUCCCCUCCGACAAGCACAGCUUUGGGAGGGCUGAAAAAUCCCAUGGAGAAUGCAGUGGUUGUCAAGCUCGUGUUUAGAAGGGCCUCAAAGCAACGUCAAACUGGGAAGAGGGGAAAAAAGAAGAAAAACAAAACAAGAAACAAAGAGAAAGAGGAGCUUUAAAAUAGAGUGUAGAAACUAUGCAGCAAGGGGACCAUCCUCUCCCUUUGGAGCUGACCCCCAUGUUUUUUUGCAAACCUGAGUGGGACAAGACUUGCAGUUACAAUGUGCAGGAACAUUUUUUAAUGCAACUCCCAGAAACACAGUUAAUUUUUGCAGUGAAGUGGAGUUUACAGAAAAUCAUCUUGCAUCCCAGAGAACCAAAACUGCACGGUUUGGCCUGCGGGGGUGGAUGCCUGGUGUAGGACUCACCCAUCCGCCCCUGUGAACUGGGCUGGAUAUGGGUCCCGCUGUUCAGCCACUGGCUUCAGAGCGAGAUUUGCCUCACAGAAUACGGGGUGAACACAAACUUUCCACUCAUACAUCUGCGAGAGCAGAGCUUUUGCUCCAACUGCUGAUCUCUCCGAUGUUGCUUGCUCUCUGGGGUGAUUUCUCUUGAUCUCAAAGCAUAUGAACUGAGACUAUCCAUGCGGUUGUAAAAACAAUGCAGAUUAAUGAGAGUCACUCCCUACCAGGUGACCCUUAGAAAACCUGCUCUGCAGACACUGGAAGGCAAGAAUUUUUAAUCCAUUUUGGUCAGACAGCGAUUAAAUCACUGGACUUUUUUCUCAUCAGCAGCAUCUUCAGCGUGGAAACUCUGUGGUCAAUUUUUAUGGCCGUUCAGCAGGUGAAAAAAUGGGGUGGCUCCAGGUCAUGCACAACAAAGACAGCAGCGGCCUGCACUGAGAAAUACUCAACCCCAGAAUGGUUUUGCUGGUGUGCACGUGGGGUAAGUCAUGAAGAGAGCUGUGUUUCAACGCCGGCAGAGGAUAACACAGCUGAUCCUGUGUUUUCUGCACUUCUUUAAAGAGCAGUAAAGCUUCAUGAUGAUGGAUAAAUGCUGUUAUUGUGUGUUAAAUGUGCGUGUUAAGGACAGAGAGCAGUAUGAUGCUUACUUCUUCAAUAAAGAUUGACCAUGCAUCUCUAACUGCUUGGGUGUUUUAUAUCUAAACCAUUCUUGUAGCCCCGAGGGCUGAAACCAG